UUAUAAGUUUCGUGCAUUAAAUUCCAGAUUCACUAUUUUUUUCCUUGCAUAUUUAGUUUUCAUUUUAUAUUUCUGUCCAUUUGCAUCUUAUUACAUCUUGAGGUAAUAAUAUUAUUUUGGUGUUGCCUAAUUAACAUAAAAAUCAUCAUACACUUAUUUCUAUAUCAAAUGUGUGCUCUUCAUUAUUUAGAAUGUUCUAGUUUGCUUAUAGAGUUGAAUUCGUGUAUCUUGUUUCUUCAGGAAUUCUUUGUUACCUCUAAUUAAAAUUGAGUACAUAGUGAUAAUUAAUUUUUGUUUGAAUUGACUCUUUUGUAUAGAGUUAUAAAAGAUUGCUUGAGUGGUAAAAAGUAAGAGAGUGUGAGCUCAAAAGAGGGUAAAAGCCAAAAUUGAGUGAAACACGAGUGCCCAUACUACGAGAGUAAACACGUGAGGGAGUGAUUUGUGAGGUUGCAAUCUAUUUUGUUUGUCAUUAAAAUUUCAUAUUUGAAGAUGGAGCCAUAAUGGAGUGAAAGAACAUCAAAAUAUCAAGAAUUCAUCCUCAAAGCAAUGCAACAACAAUUUGAGAGGAUUUAACUAG
rnacentral:lncRNA from 1 species